CAAAACUUUCAACAACGGAUCUCUUGGUUCUGGCAUCGAUGAAGAACGCAGCAA
rnacentral:rRNA from 1 species